UUACAUCUCUUCGGAGCAUUUUACGAGGUGCUGCAUGGUUGUCGUCAGCUCGUGCCGUGAGGUGUCGGGUUAAGUCCCAUAACGAGCGCAACCCUACCUUUAGUUGCCAUCAGGUUAAGCUGGGGACUCUAAAGGAACUGCCUACGCAAGUAGUGAGGAAGCGGGGAUGACGUCAAAUCAGCACGGCCCUUACGUCCAGGGCUACACACGUGCUACAAUGGCCGAUACAGAGGGCAGCUACCUGGUGACAGGAUGCAAAUCUCCAAAGUCGGUCUCAGUUCGGAUCGGAGUCUGCAACCCGACUCCGUGAAGUUGGAUUCGCUAGUAAUCGCGCAUCAGCCAUGGCGCGGUGAAUACGUUCCCGGGCCUU
rnacentral:rRNA from 1 species